rnacentral:rRNA from 1 species
GUAGGUGGCAAGCGUUGUCCGGGAAUUAUUGGGCGUAAAGCGCGCGCAGGCGGUUCUUUAAGUCUGAUGUGAAAGCCCACGGGCUCAACCGUGGAGGGUCAUUGGAAACUGGAGAACUUGAGUACAGAAGAGGAAAGCGGAAUUCCACGUGUAGCGGUGAAAUGCGUAGAGAUGUGGAGGAACGCCAGUGGCGAAGGCGGCUUUCUGGUCUGUAACUGACGCUGAGGCGCGAAAGCGUGGGGAGCAAACAGGAUUAGAUACCCUGGUAGUCCACGCCGUAAACGAUGAGUGCUAAGUGUUAGGGGGUUUCCGCCCCUUAGUGCUGCAGCUAACGCAUUAAGCACUCCGCCUGGGGAGUACGGCCGCAAAGGCUG